UCCAAUCUCUUCCAUGGGGUGAAUCCCAAAGGAAUUCUGUAACACACACCCUGAUCACUCAACUCCAUCUCAAAGUCUGCUUCCGGGAGAACCCAGUGUGGGAUGGCAUGAAUUCUCUGAUUUGUGGACUUCUACUGAGAUAGCAUCACAGCUGCCAUGAACCCAGAAGCUAUGCUCUUCUAUACCCAUGAUGUACUACUUCACCACAGGCGCAGAAACAAUGAAGCCAGACUACCACGGACUGAAAUUUCUGAAACCCUAAACCCAGAUGAACUUUUCAUCCUCUAAGUUCAUUUUUCCCAGCAGGCAUGUUCUACAAGGAAUACUGAAAUGAAAGGACACGAGAUAGUGACUUGAAUUCACAUGAAGGAAUAAAGAACAUUAGAAAAGGUAAUACGCAGAUAAAUGUAAAAGUCUGGGUAAUUUAGUUUUUGUUUGUAACUCCUUUUUUUUUCCCCUCCAUCUAAUUUAAAAUACAACUUUUUAAGGCAAUAGUUAUAAAUCUGUGUUGAUGGUUAUAUAAUGUGUAAAAAUGUACUUUAUAUAAUACUAUUACAAAGGAAGGAGAGAACAGUGCUUAA